AAGAAAGUCAUAGAGGUUAUGUGGUUGGCUUGAAACCGAUUAAUGGAGGUUCGAUUCCUUCCUUUCUUG
rnacentral:tRNA from 1 species